CCUACGUGGCGCAGCAGUGAGGAAUAUUGGUCAAUGGGCGCGAGCCUGAACCAGCCAAGUAGCGUGAAGGAUGACUGCCCUACGGGUUGUAAACUUCUUUUAUAAAGGAAUAAAGUGAGGCACGUGUGCCUUUUUGUAUGUACUUUAUGAAUAAGGAUCGGCUAACUCCGUGCCAGCAGCCGCGGUAAUACGGAGGAUCCGAGCGUUAUCCGGAUUUAUUGGGUUUAAAGGGAGCGUAGAUGGGUUGUUAAGUCGGUUGUGAAAGUUUGCGGCUCAACCGUAAAAUUGCAAUUGAUACUGGCAGUCUUGAGUACAGUUGAGGUAGGCGGAAUUCGUGGUGUAGCGGUGAAAUGCUUAGAUAUCACGAAGAACUCCGAUUGCGAAGGCAGCUUACUAAACUGCCACUGACAUUGAUGCUCGAAAGUGUGGGUAUCAAACAGGAUUAGAUACCCUUGUAGUC
rnacentral:rRNA from 1 species